rnacentral:rRNA from 1 species
UACGUAGGGUGCGAGCGUUAAUCGGAAUUACUGGGCGUAAAGUGUGCGCAGGUGGCCGCGCAAGUCGAGUGUGAAAUCCCCGAGCUUAACUUGGGAAUUGCGCUCGAAACUACGUGGCUCGAGUGUGGCAGAGGAAGGUGGAAUUCCACGUGUAGCGGUGAAAUGCGUAGAUAUUGGGAGGAACACCAGUGGCGAAGGCGGUCCCCUGGGCCGGAACUGACGCUGAGGCGCGAAAGCGUGGGUAGCAAACGGG